AGUGAAAACGUUUCUGUCUUCGGUGUGCAAAUGGAGAUGCUGCUGUUGGAGUUUAGCCCACGGGAGUGUCAUACAGCUGCAAAGGAGAGGAUGGACUCAAAGCAUCACUGCGCAGUGCGACUGCUGAGCCCGUGGGGUGAAAGCAUGCUGGAUUGGAGAUGCUGGAAGAAAGCACAAGCAGUCCUUCAAGAUGAGGUAGGAGGGAUGGCAGUAACAGAAGAGCACAGCUGAAUCUCAAGAUCUCAAGCAAAGACAGCAGGAGUCUGAGCAUUUAAAUAUGCCUUCGCCAUGCUGGAGCAUUCCAAGCAGUGUGUUCUUCAAGUUUGGAAAGGCCAUGUAAGAUUUCAGUGCAUCGGCUCAGCCUGGAGGACAAGAGGACACAGACCUCAGAGCAAGGAGGGCCCUUACCCAUCAGUGACUGCUCCAUGGAUGGUGGCACGGAGCGCAGUGGAGGUACGGCCUGGGAUCCUGCCAAGAUCUGAUGCUACAAAUUAUGUGUAUUAUUCCUCUCCUUGCUUCAUUUGAUGUACAGUAAAAAGACAAAUAUGACAAGCUGGAAAACAGAGAGGGGGGGCUGAGAUGGUUCGCAAUAUGAGCCAUUUGUAUUGCCAUAUCAGAAAUAACCAAUUAAGCCGCGAUGUAAGUAGCACAAGCUCUCUGUGCAGCUCUGUAAUACCAGUUAUCUGCCUCAGCGAUUUCUAAAACAAUCAUGGGCUUCUGUUGGUUGCCAAAGAAUUUCUCUUGCUUGAAAGUCAGCCUUCAGCUAAUCCAUCAGUGACUCCUGUGGCACAGUGACUGGAAGGAUUGGACGAGCUCCGUGCCUUCUGGACGGGAGCAGGGCUGAGGCUGCCGAGCAGUACAGCUGGUGAUGGUGCUCUCUUCUCCCAAAGCAGCUUUGCUCUGGGGUCAUGUUUGAGACUUGGGCCUUGGCUCAUAGCAGGCAAGCUAAGGCAGGGCUUUGUUCUCUUGGGCGCAGAUCAGAGAGGCUUCCAGGAUGGCUUGGGUUGGAAGGAAUCUUAGAGGUCAUGCAGUUCCAAGCCCCUGCCAUGGGCAGGGUUGCCACCCACUGGAGCAGGCUGCCAUGGGCCUCAUCCGUAUAGGAUGGAAAAGCACACUCUGCCUUUAACUGUUAAAGCCAUUUUUGUAAUUGACUUACAGCUGUGUCAUGUAUGAGUUUUAACACUGCAAAUAAUUAUGACAUAUGAUUAGAUAAGCAGUUGAAAAGCUUGGGGGGGGGGGGGGGGGUUGAAUCAUUGCUUUUCCUAAGAGUGCUCUCUCACUUAUCUGUGUGCUUUAUUUGUUAUGAUACAGUCCCUGACAACUUAAUAAAAGUGUUUCGGAAGGAAAAGCCCAUUGCUCAAAUAAAGAAAAUAG
rnacentral:lncRNA from 7 species